AAUAGCCUCAAGGAUUGUCAGCCAAUUGUGGGCUACGCAGGAUGGAGAGCUGUUUUUCACUGUCUUAGGGGCCAGAGUUUCAUGGCCCUCGGCUAAAGGGAUCCCGUUACAUUGUGAAGGGAAUUAUGCACACAAGUUCCAGGCCUGUUCUCUGAGAUUCUUAUGAGGUUGCUCUGGCAUGGAACGUGGGAAGCGGAAUUUUAACAAUUUCUCCAGUGAUUCUGUUGCUUGACCAUUUGGGGGAAUCCCCAGGGAGGCUGCUGGUUCCCAGAUUGUGGGCCAUGACUCCCAAGGUUUGCCAGGAAAGACGCUGUCUCAAGAGUAUCAAGAAGCAGAGGCUUCCCAGACCUCAACUCCUGGACUCCCGGUGCUCGAACCUGUCUCAAACAAGAAGACGAGACAAUGGCGAAGGACGCCCACCUGCCAUCCUCCUGUCUCACCCUCCCCCCUGCCUUGCUGCAAGCAGCCUCUCAAGGCCAAACGCAGGCUGGUGGGAAACCACCGAGCUGCACAAGC
rnacentral:lncRNA from 1 species